GAUGAACGCUAGCUACAGGCUUAACACAUGCAAGUCGAGGGGCAGCAUGGGGUUUGCUUGCAAACCCCGAUGGCGACCGGCGCACGGGUGAGUAACGCGUAUCCAACCUUCCCCUUAGUAGGGCAUAGCCCGGUGAAAAUCGGAUUAAUGCCCUAUGGUUUCCAUUAAAGACAUCUGAGAUGGAAUAAAGAUUUAUCGCUUAUGGAUGGGGAUGCGUCUGAUUAGGUAGUAGGCGGGGUAACGGCCCACCUAGCCGACGAUCAGUAGGGGUUCUGAGAGGAAGGUCCCCCACAUUGGAACUGAGACACGGUCCAAACUCC
rnacentral:rRNA from 1 species